GUCGGGAAUUUUUGGCAAUGGGCGAAAGCCUGACCCAGCAACGCCGCGUGAAGGAUGAAGUAUUUCGGUAUGUAAACUUCGUAAGAAUAGGAAGAAUAAAUGACGGUACUAUUUGUAAGGUCCGGCUAACUACGUGCCAGCAGCCGCGGUAAUACGUAGGGACCAAGCGUUGUUCGGAUUUACUGGGCGUAAAGGGCGCGUAGGCGGCGUGGUAAGUCAGCUGUGAAAUCUCCGAGCUUAACUCGGAACGGUCAGCUGAUACUGCUGUGCUAGAGUACAGAAAGGGCAAUCGGAAUUCUUGGUGUAGCGGUGAAAUGCGUAGAUAUCAAGAGGAACACCUGAGGCGAAGGCGGGUUGCUAGGCUGAUACUGACGCUGAGGCGCGAAAGCUAGGGUAGCAAACGGGAUUAGAAACCCGUGUAGUCC
rnacentral:rRNA from 1 species